AUUGAACGCUGGCGGCAGGCCUAACACAUGCAAGUCGAGCGGAGCGGCGGACGGGUGAGUAAUGCCUAGGAAUCUGCCUGGUCGUGGGGGAUAACGUCAGGAAACGGGCGCUAAUACCGCUUACUAUCAGAUGAGCCUAGGUCGGAUUAGCUAGUUGGUGGGGUAAAGGCCUACCAGGGCGACGAUCCGUAACUGGUCUGAGAGGAUGAUCAUUCACACUGGAACUGAGACACGGUCCAGACUCCUACGGGAGGCAGCAGUGGGGAAUAUUGGACAAUGGGCGAAAGCCUGAUCCAGCCAUGCCGCGUGUGUGAAGAAGGUCUUCGGAUUGUAAAGCACUUUAAGUUGGGAGGCGUUACCAACAGAAGAAGCACCGGCUAACUCCGUGCCAGCAGCCGCGGUAAUUC
rnacentral:rRNA from 1 species